AUUGAACGCUGGCGGCAUGCCUAACACAUGCAAGUCGAGCGGAUGAAAGGAGCUUGCUCCCGGCUUCAGCGGAGGGCGGGAGAGUAAUGCCUAGGAAUCUGCCCGGGAGUGGGGGAUAACGUCCGGAAACGGGCGCUAAUACCGCACACGAUAUGAGGGAGAACGUGGGGGAUCAAGGGACCUCGCGGUAUCAGAUGAGCCUAGGUCGGAUUAGCUAGUUGGUGGGGUAAAGGCCUACCAAGGCGACGAUCCGUAACUGGUCUGAGAGGAUGAUCAGUCACACUGGAACUGAGACACGGUCCAGACUCCUACGGGAGGCAGCAGUGGGGAAUUUUGGACAAUGGGCGCAAGCCUGAUCCAGCCAUGCCGCGUGCAGGAUGAAGGCCUUCGGGUUGUAAACUGCUUUUGUACGGAACGAAAAGCCUUCUUUUAAUACAGGAGGGUCAUGACGGUACCGUAAGAAUAAGCACCGGCUAACUACGUG
rnacentral:rRNA from 1 species